rnacentral:misc_RNA from 1 species
AAGUAGAAUUGAAUGAGUCCCUGUUCUUUGUACACACCGCCCGUCGCUAUCUAAGAUGGUAUUAUCUAUGAACAAAUUUAUAAAGUGAAUAGAUAGUACUAGAUCUGAUAUAAGUCGUAACAUGGUUGCUGUUGGAGAACCAUUAGCAGGAUCAUAAAUAAAAAAAGAUAGGAUUAUUAUAAUGAAAGUGUAUGCUGACAUUAUAAUAAUCUUGUCUAUGUUCUAAAUACAAAAUACCUUCACGAGGUUUAGAAUGAGUGAUAUAAGGAAAGUUAUAUUAGCUAAAUUUAUGUAUGUAUGAACGAGUUUGAUUAUAAAAAGCGAAGGCAGUUAGGUGUAGUGAAUUAAUAUUAGAGAUGUAAUCUAUAGAGUUUUAAGAUAGUUUUCAUGCCUAUAAUAUCAAUAAUCUAUAUCUAUUACAGCACACUAAUUUUAACAGAUACGGCCAUAUCUACUGAAAACCACCGGAACCCAUCAGAACUCCGAAGUUAAACCAGUAUGAGCUUAAUUAGUCUAAGAAGGGAGA